rnacentral:sRNA from 12 species
UCACUCCCAGAUGUUCCACCGUACGUGUCCGUGAAAGCGGAGGCAGGCGGAGACGACUCGAAACCGAACGCGGCAAAGCACGACCUGGGCGCGUCAGAGUCUCCGA